GAUAGAAAGCUGAGCUGGGGAAAAGGGUUAUCAGUCCUUUUCACUUCCAGUUAGACCGCAGAAGUGCAUAUUUACCCAGCGCUGCACAAGAGAACAUUUGUACUGUAUAGUGGCAGAAAAAAACUCCUCAAACCCAGGUUAUGUCACACUUUCAACCCAAUUAUGACAGCAGAGAUGGUCAUGGGUGGCUGUUUGAGGUGACAGAAUCAAACAGGACUCCCUGCCUUAUAACACGCUUGGGGAGGUUGGAAGCAGGUGAUUUUCAUUAGAAGCCUGAACAGCCAUCUCCUGGAGGUACCUAUACUACUGUGAGCACAAGGGAUCAGUCAUUGUUGCUAUUUUGUAACAGGGAGUCCAUCCAAGCAGAUGGUAACAGGUCUACACUCUCAGAGCCAUUUACGGCAGGUACUGUAGUGGUUACUGUGGUGUCUCAUUAAAGACAGGUGUGGUCCUGAUAGGAUAUGUGAUGAUCCCGACUGAUGGUCCGGUCGAAUCCGCUAAACCGAGUAGCUUUAGUUUGUAGAGCUAUCAGGCCAAAUUACGAGAGUGAUGAUUGAUGGGCUAAGCAAAACACCAGCACGUUUUAAGUGCUUAUUUAAUGCAGAUAAUGAGCAUGCAGCAUUAUUCUAGGGUCAUGACCUCUCGUACUGCACUUGUAUUUCAAUAAAGUAUGUAAAUGCAUCAUAAUUAUAAAGCAGGGUCGUCUGAUUCCGGUCCUGGAGGCCAGUUAGCAACACGGUUAGCAGAUUUCCCUCUUGAAACACUCCCACUAAACCUGGUAAUUAGAUGGUUAAGUUGUGCUUGAGCCGGGAAAUCUGCAAAUUGUGCUAUAUUCUGGCCUUAUAGGACUGGAAUUAAGCAACCCUGUUCAUCAGCCAUGCGAUUGUGUGUGUCUUUAUGGGUUUGGCACCUAUACCUGUGAUCAGAAGGUCACCAGUUCAAAUCCCGUAAUUAGCUGAACGAAGCUGCAUUGGUCCUUUGAGCAAGGCAUCUAAUCCUAAGUGCUUUAGGGGCGUUGGACACUGCCUGACCCUAUAACCUGCUCUCACCUGUCUGUGUCUCUUGGAGAGUAUUAAGGAGUAAAUAACAGUAUCAACACUCUGUGUAAUGCAUCCCUAAGGUGGCAGGUGUCUGGAUGAAUUGAACGAAAUUGAACACAUCGGUGAGAACAAUGUCUCGCAUACCUGAAACACCAUCUUGUUCAUGUCACGCCACAACCCUAGAGCACGCAGAAUGCUUGCAAUACAGCAGACCAACGUACAGAGCACAAAUAAACACAUUGUGGCGAGUGUGUGAGUUGUUUUAAUAAAGGAGAUGACAGCUCUUUGAAAAUGGAAGUUGCUCUCUCUAUUAACAGCCCUGUUGUUUCGCUGUAUGGCUGCAAGACAUGGACCAGUGACCCGAGACGAAGACGACUCCUUCGGUACUGUGUCUCUGCGGAGAGUCCUUGCAUACGGCUGAUUUGACUUUUGCGUUUCCCUGAGGGUGAUCCGGCUCGCAGGAUCCGAGCGGCUGGAACAGGCCAAAGGGACGCCCACGUAACACCUGGCUGCGGCAGAUAGACGGCCAUUUCUGGAGGGUGGGACUGAACCGCGUGUCAGUCUUGGGGGGUCACAAACUGGGAUCCCAAGGUGUUUCAUUGUGUGGUGGGUGCUAUACCAGGGGGUGCUCCCCAACCUGACCUGACCUCACUAUUGGUUUAAUACCAGCAGUGGUGCAGACAGGGAAUUUAAGCACCAACUCACAGAUAACACGCUUGCAUUCCACAGCAAACAUGACAUGGUUCUGACUUACUAUUAACAGAAAUGCAAAAAUACACAUAUGAAUUUAUACUACUCAUGAAUAUGUGCCGUGUGACGCAAAGCAUGCUGGCAUAAUUAGUCCUGCUGACCAACCCCGCGGUGUCACAUUUAUUACAGCCAAUCGUGGAUAGUGGGUGGGAUCAGAACAAAUGAAAAAUUUCUCUUGGGGAUCCUGCACAGGCGGUGAUUACGGGUCAUGUGGCGUCAUGUUGCUAAAACCACAUCGAUUCCGUUAAUUUCAUGUGAAGUAUACGGAUGCUA